rnacentral:rRNA from 1 species
AUGGGAUUGGGUGUCGAGUCGGUUGGCCAAUGUUCAUGCAUGAUGAGCGUCCAUGUCGUUCCGUCCCGGCGUCGCAUUCGCCUCGCCGUAAAGCUCACGGCUCCGUCCCUACCAACAGCGACACCGACGCCUGACGCCGACGACCCACCACCCUCCGCCUCGCCUCGCCCCACUCCGCCCCGUGCCCGUACCCAUGCGCGCGCGCGAGCCACACCUAAAAGCCCAUCGACCCCAUCCAACCCAUGGUCGCCGCGGCGGAUGCAUACGCUGGCCAUGGCCAUGCGCCGCCUCCUCAGCGCCCUCGACGUCCGCGCCUCUCACUUGCCGAGGCCUCCGCCGCCGCCGCCUUCACCGGCCCAGCAGGGGACGUCCUUCCCCAUGCUGCUCCCGGUCUUCCUCCUCUUCGUCCUCCUCCUCUGCUUCCUCUCCAUCUUCCUCCUCCGCGACCUCCUCCGCUUCUUCUCCCUCUGGCUCCGCCGCCGCCGCCGCCCCCAGUCCAGCGACGCGGACGCCGCCACGGGCGAAGAAGGCGAGCCCGCGCCCGCGCCGCGCAAGCCGGCGGGCCUGGAUCCCGCCGUCAUCGCCUCGUUCCCCACGGUGCGGUUCGAGGCCGACGCCGCCGGCUCCGCGGCGCCGGCGGAGUGCGCGGUCUGCCUGUCCGAGUUCGCGCCCGGCGACGCCGUCCGGUCGCUCACCGUCUGCCGCCACGCCUUCCACGCCGCGUGCAUCGACUCGUGGCUCGGCGCGCACACCACGUGCCCGGUCUGCCGCACCGACCUGGACGCCCCGCCCAACGAGGAGAUCGCCGUCGCGGAAGAACGCGGAGACCGUGGCCGGGCUGCAGCGGCGGUCCACGAGUUCACUGGACACCGGAUAACGUCGUCACCUCCGGCAAGUGGCCAGCGGUAACCAACGGUCGCCGGGCACGCAACACUGAGUGGCGAUCCGAAGAUGAACAGGGGGGCCGGCUGUGCAUGCGAGGCGAACCUGUUCUGUGAAGGGGGAAAAACUCCUCUGGCCCCCGAGUCGUCUCCCCCACCUCUCCUCUCCCUCGUCGCCACCGGAGGUGGCCGCCGGCUCGCCGCUCGGCCGCCGGUGAAGGUGGCGGCGAGGAUCUGGCCGCCCCGUUCUUCCUCGGGGGGCUUUGGAUUCGUGGCGGCGGCCUCGGCUGGUGGAUCGACGCCGGGUCUGCGGUGACCGGUGCUCGUUGGUGCUGGCCGUUCUUCCUCGGCCGCGGGGGCGGCGAGGCGGCGGCAGGUGGCGGCUGUGGUGCGGGCGUCUCGGCGGCGCCCGAUCCAGAUCUGAAGGCCUCCGUCUACUUCAACCAGGGCUGCCUCGAAUGGUCCUGCUUUGGGCGGCCUUUGUCGCCGGAGUUGUACCUCUUUGGCUGCUGGAGGUGGGAGGUGGCUCCGGAGAAAUCCGAGGCCAGCAGUGCUGGCCACGACGGCGGCGACGCCCGAGGGCGCCGUACCCUUCUUGUAGGCUCCGUCCAGGUUGCCUCCUUCCCCUCCUCCUUCCACCCAGCUCGUAUGCCGGGCGAAAGCCCAAAUCCUUGCCGGAUCGAGCGACAGCGGCGCUCCGGGCGUCGUCACCCUCUUUGGGGUGUCGUUCGUGGUGAGCUUGGGGUGGAUGUGAUGCUUUGGUUGCUUGGCGGCGGUUGGUGGCGUGGUCGGAGUUCGUCUGGUGGCGGUGCGUUGGCGCUCUGCCGCCUAUGUGCUCUGCCUCGGAGUCCUUCUUCCACGGUGCUUGGUCUUCAGCAGCCCUGCCGGACUCGGCGGAGCGGUGCUUCAUCUCACACAUUGAUGGCGGCGGUUAUCGGCGGCAUGGUGCUGUGGAGGCUCGGCGUCCGAUGCGCGGGAUGGACUCGCGCAGGAAGAGGUAGCUGUCUGGCGUCAUGGUGACGUCGAUGGCUGAGUGGCCAGACAAGGUAGAUGCCUCAAUAUGAUCUGAAGACGGAUCUGUGGAAGAUGGCGGCGACGACACACGAGUGCGUCUGACUGGAUUGUGCCCCAGACCCGGUAUGUGGCUUGGUUGGGGCUUCCGGCUUUUGAUGUUAGGCUUAGGUGAGUGGUCUGAGUGGCCCAGCUAGCACCCCUUCAUCGUAUGGAUAGGAGUAGCGGCAUAUGUUGCCAAGAUGGUGGAUCCAGGCAUAUUGUUGUAAUACUUUGUAAGGUCCUCGAGAAUAAUCAAUAAAGUGGCCGUAUGCAUCUCCCAGAUGCAGAGGCCGGGGGUCAUCCUCCUUUUC